UUACCUCAUCAGUUACUCCUCAGGGUUCUGCCAUCCCAGAUUAAGUUUACAUAAACCAACUGCCUCUGAAAGAGCAAUUUCUUAAAGGAAAUGCUUUCACUUGCUCACUCUUUUUUUUUUUUAAUUUUUUUUCAACGUUUAUUUAUUUUUGGGACAGAGAGAGACAGAGCAUGAACGGGGGAGGGGCAGAGAGAGAGGGAGACACAGAAUCGGAAACAGGCUCCAGGCUCUGAGCCAUCAGCCCAGAGCCUGAUGCGGGGCUCGAACUCACGGACCGCGAGAUCGUGACCUGACUGAAGUCGGACGCUUAACCGACUGCGCCACCCAGGCGCCCCACUUGCUCACUCUUAAUCACAUGCUUAACUACAUCUGUAUUUGGACAUGCAUGAAUUUUUGAGCUUAAGGAAAACCAAUCCUGCUGGUCAGAAAUAUCCUAAACCUGUCACUUCAGGGAACAACCCCUCACUAAUAUAACUUUCCCAGUCACCAAAAUGAAAUGAGUGACACGAUUUUUUUCAUUUACAUAAUUAUAGUAAUACAAGAACUUACUUUUGCAAACACUACUAUACUAUUGUACCAACACUACUAUAUAGAAAAAGUUAAAAGAUUUUAUUAAAAUCCUAUCAUAUUCACAAGCCAUUCUCUUUAUUUUUUAUCUCUUCCUGUCUUUAUCCUAAAAGGGUGAUAUUUGUGUAGAUUUUAAGUAGCAUAUGUGAAAUUUUAGAGGCUUCAUUUCUUCAUGUCAUGACAAUAUUCUAAAUUUCAGGUGAUUUGAGUGAAAAAUAUUUUUUAAUAUGAGAAACAUUAUGAUGUUUAUAUUCCCUGUUAGUUUUCUUUCCUUCACUAUAUUCUUUAGUUCAAUUCUUAGAAACUACAUCAUGAGAGUUUGAAUAUUUUAAUAACCCCAAAAUAUCUUACCCACUGCUCCAAACAUUAACUGUAGCUCUCAUAGCUCAUGAGAUCAAGCCCUGCAUCAGGCUCAGCACUGAGCAUGGAGCCUGCUUAAGGUUCUCUCUCUCCCUCCCUCUCUUCCCUUCUCUUUCUCUUAGAAAGAGGGAGAGAGAGUAUAGGUAUAACAAUUCUCAUUGUGUAGUGAGAAGGAAAAUUAAUGAGGGUCCCAAGUUACAUCUACGAUUCCUCCAAGGGACAUAAGGCGGUACAAAAUGUUAAAGAUGUUGGCUGGGGCUGAAUAAAAGAUGAGGACUAGAAACA
rnacentral:lncRNA from 1 species